GACACCAUAGCCAAGUGGUUACGGCGACAGAUUAGAAUGUCUAAAUGCCUGUGUUCAUUUAUCUGUUCCUCUUUGAGGGCGCAGGUUCGAAUCCUGCUGGUGUCG